UUUUUUCCAACUUGGAGGAAUUAACAUUAAGCAGCAAGGAGAUCACAAUGAUAUGGCAAGGCCAGUUUGAAGACCGCUUUGACAAACUAAAAGUUCUUGGCCUAUAUUGCUUUCAUGAUGCUUCAACAGAUUUCCCAUUCAAUCUCCUUCAAAAAUUCCCAAACACGGAAAAACUUCAUGUGGUAUGCUCUGAUUUUAAUGAGAUAUUCCCAUAUGGUGUUGUUGGUGAAGAGAUGCAUGCAAGGACU
rnacentral:misc_RNA from 1 species